AUAAAAAUAACAAAAAAAAAAAUCACUAAAUUCAUUUCCCCUGAAUAACAAGUUUAAACCCUAGCCGCCACUAUCUCAUUUUCCUCCUCCACGACGAGGUCAACACCUUGUAUAUAGAUCUAAUCACUUUAUAGAGAGCUUUUAGAAAAUAAAUUUUUAUUAUUGCAGUCCACUACUACUAAAUCACAUAAAAGGCCAUAAAAAUAUUUUGAAAACCUCCAUUAAUCGCAACAAUGGUGGUCAUACGCCACUGCUUGUUGGAGAGGGUCACCUGGUUGAUCGGGUAGAUCAUCAACUCAUCUUUCUUCCUUGACUGGAGGUGAGGCAAACGAAGGCCUAUGGAGGGAGAUCAGACCACUGUAAGUUUUGCAGGUGGCGGUACCCCUCACUAUUGAUAUAGACGUGAAGAAGAAGAUGAAAUUUACCCAAUCCAUCUAUUUUUGGUCCACCUUAGUGAUGACGCAUGAACCCACGCAUCGUUAAUGGAGACGACAUGUGAAACCCACGUGCUACUACUAUUCUAGUUGCCCAGAAUCUUUUAUUAUGUUGUUUGAAUUCCUAGUAAUCUUGUCAGCCCGUUUCCAAUCUUUGGAAGGACCAUGUUGUAAAUUUUAAAAUUUUAAUUUGUGUUUGAAUUUAUUUUUAA